rnacentral:piRNA from 1 species
UGGUAACCUAUUAGAAGGUUGAUCCCUGA